rnacentral:misc_RNA from 1 species
GAACGUCUUUCCAAGAAGAACCCUGAAUACAUGGAAUCAAAAAGCUCAGUCUUUGAUAUUAAAAUGCAGGUUUUUUUUUUUUUAAGUUUCUCACUUGAGUUGUGAAAAAUUGCUGAAUCUUCUAGCAAUAAAUGCUAGAGAAGGAAGGAAAAAAAAUGGAAAAUUAAAAAAUAUAUAUAGCUAUCGCACACCCCUUUAUAAAGUUUAGCUUGCCUGUCAUUUGUUUCAUCCUUGUUCUUCUGACAAAUAUGUCCUAUGGUCCCCUCAAAUAGUUUCUAUAAUACAUAUAAUUAAUAUAUACCAGGUGAAGAUAUAGUUGUCAGAUUUUUGAAUUCAGGAACAUGCAAGCUUCAAAUAAUCUCUGUCUCUCUCUCUCUACGGUAUAUAUAUUUGGAUAUAAAUGAGCCAUAAUUGAAUUUAAGUACAUUUUUUUUAUAUAUAUCAAAAAAUUUUAAAGAGAAAUGAUAUCAG